rnacentral:rRNA from 1 species
GAUGAACGCUGGCGGCGUGCCUAAUACAUGCAAGUCGAGCGAACAGACGAGGAGCUUGCUCCUCUGACGUUAGCGGCGGACGGGUGAGUAACACGUGGAUAACCUACCUAUAAGACUGGGAUAACUUCGGGAAACCGGAGCUAAUACCGGAUAAUAUAUUGAACCGCAUGGUUCAAUAGUGAAAGACGGUUGUGGUGUCACUUAUAGAUGGAUCCGCGCCGCAUUAGCUAGUUGGUAAGGUAACGGCUUACCAAGGCGACGAUGCGUGGCCGACCUGAGAGGGUGAUCGGCCACACUGGAACUGAGACACGGUCCAGACUCCUACGGGAGGCAGCAGUAGGGAAUCUUCCGCAAUGGGCGAAAGCUUGACGGAGCAACGCCGCGUGAGUGAUGAAGGUCUUCGGAUCGUAAAACUCUGUUAUUAGGGAAGAACAAAUGUGUAAGUAACUAUGCACGUCUUGACGGUACCUAAUCAGAAAGCCACGGCUAACUACGUG